UACGGAGGAUCCAAGCGUUAUCCGGAUUUAUUGGGUUUAAAGGGUGCGUAGGCGGCCUGUUAAGUCAGGGGUGAAAGACGGUAGCUCAAACUAUCGCAGUGCCCUUGAUAACUGAUGGGCUUGAAUACACUAGAGGUAGGCGGAAUGUGACAAGUAGCGGUGAAAUGCAUAGAUAUGUCACAGAACACCGAUUGCGAAGGCAGCUUACGUAUGGUGUCAUUGACGCUGAGGCACGAAAGCGUGGGGAUCAAACAGG
rnacentral:rRNA from 1 species